UCUUCAAAAAGAGGCGUAUUCAACGUAACAUCGCUGGUGUUAUAGGCGUCGAAGAAGGGCCGAUGCUUGUUUGCCACCUUAGUAGUAUAAAAAAUGUUAUACGAUAGACUCCUCCGAUUAGUUAAAAAAAAAGUAUUAAGAUAUAAAUAAAAAUCUUAUAUCCCUUUCAAAAUUUUUCUCAAAUUACAUAUAAUAGUCAUGGUGUUACAUUGCGAGUGAUAUACCUAUAUAUGUACUAAUAAAAUGAAGUCCCUUCUUAAAAAAACCCUUUCCACCUUUUUAAAAACUUGAAAUAGAGUUAGCAACACGUAGUUCGCAAUAUGUACUAAUAAAACGGACUCUACUGUGUCAACACAGAUAUUUAUCUAACCUAAACCGAUCAAGUUAAAUUAAUUCAGUGGAGACACUGUGUCUAACAGUAUCUGAAGUUUCGAUUUGCAUACCUAUAAGUGCAUAGGUACUAAGAUUAGUUAUACGACUAGUUUAUAUUGGAGCAAAAACUAUGAAUGAGCUAAGAAACAGUGAUUGGCGCGUAUAAAUUAACCCAUGAGGGCUAAUAGAGAUGACAUUUACAACUAGGGCCGAUUAAGAAGCAAAAUCUACACCAUGAGGUUUUAGCCGACAGGAGUUGGGCAGUUCCUAUUUGUCUCCCCUGAAGCGACUAAUAUACUCUAUGACGAAUUUGCUUAAAUUAAAAAAGUAUACCUCUAGUAUUAUUAUUGUAUUAAUAUUAUGCUAUAUCGAAUUUUACUAAUUUGUCGAAACAUUUGAACUACACUAAAUUGUCGAAAUAAACCAUGAUAUGAUAAGAUUGAAUAAUCCGAAUUUCUAGUAUUAAAACACGGUAAAACAAAUGACGUAAGACAUACCGAAAUAAUGAAGAUGUUAAUUUGUUGACGAUUGAGUUGCAUAAAAUCCGCAUAGAAUUAUCAAUAUCAUGUCUAUUAUCAAGUCUUUAAUAAUAACAACACUAAAAUGUUAACGAUGUUAAAUAAUGAUUCAACAUAUCUAAUUGCAGGUUAUUCA